UCCGAUUUAUCACCGGCGGUCUCUCUAGAGUACCCAACUUAACUUGCUGGUAACUAGAGAUGAGGGUUGCGCUCGUUACGGGACUUAACCCAACAUCUCACGACACGAGCUGACGACAGCCAUGCAGCACCUGUCUCUUAGCUCCCGAAGGCACACUCUCAUUUCUGAAAGCUUCUAAGGAUGUCAAGGGUAGGUAAGGUUCUUCGCGUUGCAUCGAAUUAAACCACAUGCUCCACCGCUUGUGCGAGCCCCCGUCAAUUCCUUUGAGUUUUAACCUUGCGGCCGUACUCCCCAGGCGGAAAACUUAUCGCGUUAGCUGCGCCACUAGAAGUUCUACACCCCUAACGGCUAGUUUUCAUAGUUUACGGCGUGGACUAC
rnacentral:misc_RNA from 1 species